rnacentral:lncRNA from 1 species
CUUGGGAGUCAUUCUGACGCUUCAAUGGUCAAUCAAACUCACUUAGAGAGGUUGAACCAUGUGGUGAGAAGUAGCAGGAGGUCCUUAGUCUUGGGGGCUCCCAGUAUGCUCAAGGCGCAGAACGGACUAACCUCGUGAGUGUGGCAGGGUGGGGAACCCAAGUUUCAUAAGUCACCACGGGUGCAAGACUCGCCAUAGCCCGACUCUCAUUUUAAAGCCCGAACGAGUCAAGUCUAGAAUCUCACAUGUUUGGGUUGUUUGCUAUAAAAUGUGGUUGUUAUCCCUGUACUCUCUUAUGAUUAAAAUGUUUAACCUGUUGUAUGAUGUUUAUUUAUAUAAUUAGCUCACCCUUGCCUUGUUUUUGUGUAUGUUGUAUGUUUCUCUUUUGCGAUGAUCAUCCUUGUUGGAUGUGAGCAGAUGAGCAUGAGCCCACUUUGGAGGAUGUUUUGGAAGACCAAGACAACACUGAUGCUGCAAC